rnacentral:rRNA from 1 species
UACGGAGGGUGCAAGCGUUAUCCGGAUUCACUGGGUUUAAAGGGUGCGUAGGUGGGCAGUUAAGUCAGUGGUGAAACCUCCAGGCUCAACCUGGAGACGCCACUCGAUACUGCUAUGGCUUGAGUUCGGUAGGGGACCAUGGAAUUCCUGGUGUAGCGGUGAAAUGCGCAGAUAUCAGGAGGAACACCGAUGGCGAAGGCAGUGGUCUGGGCCGAUACUGACGCUGAGGAGCGAAAGCGUGGGGAGCGAACAGG